UACGAAGGGGGCUAGCGUUGCUCGGAAUGACUGGGCGUAAAGGGCGCGUAGGCGGUUCGUACAGUCAGGCGUGAAAUUCCCGGGCUUAACCUGGGGGCUGCGUUUGAUACGUGCGGGCUUGAGUUCGGAAGAGGGUCGUGGAAUUCCCAGUGUAGAGGUGAAAUUCGUAGAUAUUGGGAAGAACACCGGUGGCGAAGGCGGCGACCUGGU
rnacentral:rRNA from 1 species